rnacentral:tRNA from 1 species
GGUAGUUCAAUGGCGAGAAUGCCAUGCGGACGGCCCGGGUUAGAUUCCCGGCAGAUGCA